AACCUACCUUAAUCUGGGGGAUAGCCCGAAGAAAUUCGGAUUAACACCGCAUAAAAUCACAGUACGGCAUCGUACAAUGAUCAAAUGUUUAUAGGAUUAAGAUGGGCAUGCGUGACAUUAGUUAGUUGGUGAGGUAACGGCUCACCAAGACUACGAUGUCUAGGGGAUCUGAGAGGAUGACCCCCCACACUGGUACUGAGACACGGACCAGACUCCUACGGGAGGCAGCAGUAAGGAAUAUUGGUCAAUGGAGGCAACUCUGAACCAGCCAUGCCGCGUGCAGGAAGACGGCCCUACGGGUUGUAAACUGCUUUUGUCGGGGAAUAAACCCUUCUACGUGUAGGAGGCUGAAUGUACUCGAAGAAUAAGGAUCGGCUAACUCCGUGCCAGCAGCCGCGGUAAUACGGAGGAUCCAAGCGUUAUCCGGAUUUAUUGGGUUUAAAGGGUGCGUAGGCGGCCUAUUAAGUCAGGGGUGAAAGACGGUGGCUCAACCAUCGCAGUGCCUUUGAUACUGAUAGGCUUGAAUGAACUUGAGGUAGGCGGAAUGUGACAAGUAGCGGUGAAAUGCAUAGAUAUGUCACAGAACACCGAUUGCGAAGGCAGCUUACUAAGGUUUAAUUGACGCUGAGGCACGAAAGCGUGGGGAUCAAACAGGAUUAGAUACCCUGGUAGUCCACGCCCUAAACGAUGAACACUCGAUGUUAGCGAUAUACAGUUAGCGUCUAAGCGAAAGCGUUAAGUGUUCCACCUGGGGAGUACGCCCGCAAGGGUGAAACUCAAAGGAAUUGACGGGGGCCCGCACAAGCGGAGGAGCAUGUGGUUUAAUUCGAUGAUACGCGAGGAACCUUACCCGGGCUUGAAAGUUACUGAAGAGAGCAGAGACGCUCUCGUCCUUCGGGACAGGAAACUAGGUGCUGCAUGGCUGUCGUCAGCUCGUGCCGUGAGGU
rnacentral:rRNA from 1 species